rnacentral:Y_RNA from 1 species
GGUUGGUCCGAGUGCAGUGGUGUUUCCAAUUAAUUGAUCACAGCCAGUUACAGAUUUCUUUGUUCCUUCUCCACUCCCACUGCUUCACUUGACUAGCCUUUU